rnacentral:rRNA from 1 species
AAUCAACGCUGGCGGCGCGCCUAACACAUGCAAGUCGAACGAGAAAGUGGAGCAAUCCAUGAGUACAGUGGCGUACGGGUGAGUAACACGUGGAUCAUCUACCUCUUAGUGGGGAAUAACUAGGGGAAACUCUAGCUAAUACCGCAUAAGCCUGAGAAGGGAAAGCAGCAAUGCGCUGAGAGAGGAGUCCGCGGCCGAUUAGCUAGUUGGUAGGGUAAAAGCCUACCAAGGCAUAGAUCGGUAGCCGGCCUGAGAGGGCACACGGCCACACUGGCACUGAAACACGGGCCAGACUCCUACGGGAGGCAGCAGUGGGGAAUCUUGCACAAUGGGGGAAACCCUGAUGCAGCGACGCCGCGUGAGCGAUGAAGCCCCUUCGGGGGUGUAAAGCUCUUUCGUCAGGGACGAUAAUGACGGGUACCUGGAGAAGCAGCUGCGGCUAACUACGUGCCAG